AUGCCUCACCGCGACCCCACUCGCAGGUGCUGCCGUUACAUGACCCCUGUUCCUGGGGGAACCCAGAGGCCCCGACUGGCGGAGGAACUUACCCCAGGUCGGUCAGAUGGUCGCUAGUGAGGUCAGGAUUCAAACCCAGCGGACCCGCUGCAGGGUACCCUCCCCAGAUCCCAAACAAGAGGCUGCCUAGUGAAAAUUCAGGCAGACAUUCUGGGUCCCUUGAGUCCCACAUGAUUCGGACAACCAGCGAAAUCAGCGGCUUCUCAAAGUCUGGGGUUGCCUAUACAGAUUCCCGGGGCCCCGAAGUUCCGGAACCAGAACCCAGAGCCUGCAGCUGAGCGGCCACCUCAGGCCCGGCUGUGCAGAGGGGGCUCCCAAGGCAGGGGAUAGAGGCCCUGGACCGCACCCUG